GGUCAAGCGAGAUAUAGGUCUGUGGCGGAUGCCUGUGGAGCCGUAAGGCGAUGAAGGACGCGGCAAGCUGCGAGAAGCCGCGGGGAGGGGCACGCACCCUUUGAUCCGCGGAUGUCCGAAUGGGGUAACCCGGGCGCGGCGACGCGCCCGCCGUACGCGUGAAUGAAAUAGCGCGGCGGAGCCAUACCGGGUGAAGUGAACCAUCUAAGUAACCCGGGAGAAGAAAUCAAGAGAGAUUCCGCAAGUAGCGGCGAGCGAACGCGGAGGAGCCCAAACCGCCUUGUGCGGGGUUGUAGGGCCGCAUGGGGAUGGCCCGUGGAGUUGGGAAAAAACGCAGUCGCAGCGGAAGGGCAUGGGAAUGCCCGCCGAAGAGGGUGACAGCCCCGUACGCGAAGCGCGAGCGUCUCCAUGAUGCGGUUCCUGAGUACGGCGGGACACGAGGAAUCCUGUCGGAAUCCGGGUCGACCACGAUCCAAGGCUAAAUACUAGACGGCUACCGAUAGCGAACGAGUACCGUGAGGGAAAGGCGAAAAGAACCCCGGCGAGGGGAGUGAAAUAGAACCUGAAACCACAGACCGGCAAGAUGUCACGGCCCGCGAGGGUGGUGGCGUGCCUUUUGUAGAAUGAGCCUGCGAGUUGCGGUACGCGGCGAGGUUAAGGGAUGGGAGUCCCGGAGCCGGAGCGAAAGCGAGUGCGAAGCGCGCGAUUUCAAGUCGCGUGCCGCAGACCCGAAGCCAAGGUGAUCUAGUCAUGGGCAGGCUGAAGCGCGGGUAACGCCGCGUGGAGGGCCGAACGGUAAUCUGUUAAAAAAGGUAGCGAUGACCCGUGACUCGGAGUGAAAGGCUAAACAAACCUGGAGAUAGCUGGCUCUCCCCGAAAUGCCUUUAGGGACAGCCUCAUGGAAAGCUUGCGGAGGUAGAGCACUGGAUGGAUGCGGGGGAGUCAAAUCCUACCAAGUUCGAUCAAACUCCGAAUGCCGCAAGCCGGCCCAUGGGAGUGAGACCGCGUGCGCUAAGGUUCGCGGUCGAGAGGGAAACAGCCCGGACCGCCGGCUAAGGUCCCGAAACCAUGCUGAGUGUUAAAUGAGGUGCGGAUGCGCAGACAGCCAGGAGGUUGGCUUAGAAGCAGCCACCCCUUGAAAGAGUGCGUAACAGCUCACUGGUCGAGCAUCCGUGCGCAGACAAUGUAACGGGGCUAAGCAUGGUACCGAAGCCGCGGAUUCAUGCCUUACGGCAUGACUGGUAGGGGAGCAUUCCGCUGACCGGCGAAGGCGUACCCGCGAGGGACGCUGGAGGAGGCGGAAGAGAGAAUGCAGGCAUAAGUAACGAAAAGACGGGUGGGAUUCCCGUCCGCCGAAAGCCUAAGGUUUCCGGGGUAAAGGCAAUCUUCCCCGGGUAAGUCGGCCCCUAAGGCGAGGCGGAAACGCGUAGCCGAUGGGAAAUCGGUCUAGAGUCCGAUACUCCGUGCAGUUUCGACGGCAGGACGCAUGAGGCGAAAUCCGGCAGGGCGACGGUCGUCCCUGUCCAAUCAGCGAGCCGAAGAGGGGGGCAGGAAAACCCACUCCCCGAGGUGAGCUGAAGGCGAGCUGAGAGAAAGUCGAUGCGAAGCGGGCGUAGUCAUGGUGCCGGGAAAUACUGCCUAAGGCUAGGCUGCACGGAACCGUACCGCAGACGGACACACGUAGGUGGGAUGAGAAAUCUGAGGCGCACGAGCGAACUCGCGUUAAGGAACUCGGCAAAAUGCACACGUAACUUCGGAAGAAGUGUGGCUCCUGUUGUAACAGAUGAGGAGCGGCAGAAAGCAGGCCCAGGCGACUGUUUAUCAAAAACACAGCCAUCUGCGAACCAGCAAUGGGACGUAUAGGUGGUGACACCUGCCCGGUGCCGGAAGGUUAAGGGGAGUGGUCAGCGGCGACGCGAAGCCCCGAACUGAAGCCCCGGUAAACGGCGGCCGUAACUAUAACGGUCCUAAGGUAGCGAAAUUCCUUGUCGGGUAAGUUCCGACC
rnacentral:rRNA from 1 species